AGCGUACACGGUGGAUGCCCUGGCAGUCAGAGGCGAUGAAGGACGUGCUAAUCUGCGAUAAGCGUCGGUGAGGUGAUAUGAACCGUUAUAACCGGCGAUUUCCGAAUGGGGAAACCCAGUGUGUUUCGACACACUAUCAUUAACUGAAUCCAUAGGUUAAUGAGGCGAACCGGGGGAACUGAAACAUCUAAGUACCCCGAGGAAAAGAAAUCAACCGAGAUUCCCCCAGUAGCGGCGAGCGAACGGGGAGGAGCCCAGAGCCUGAAUCAGUGUGUGUGUUAGUGGAAGCGUCUGGAAAGGCGUGCGAUACAGGGUGACAGCCCCGUACACAAAAAUGCACAUAUUGUGAGCUCGAUGAGUAGGGCGGGACACGUGGUAUCCUGUCUGAAUAUGGGGGGACCAUCCUCCAAGGCUAAAUACUCCUGACUGACCGAUAGUGAACCAGUACCGUGAGGGAAAGGCGAAAAGAACCCCGGCGAGGGGAGUGAAAAAGAACCUGAAACCGUGUACGUACAAGCAGUGGGAGCCUCUUAAUGGGGUGACUGCGUACCUUUUGUAUAAUGGGUCAGCGACUUAUAUUCUGUAGCAAGGUUAACCGAAUAGGGGAGCCGAAGGGAAACCGAGUCUUAACUGGGCGUUAAGUUGCAGGGUAUAGACCCGAAACCCGGUGAUCUAGCCAUGGGCAGGUUGAAGGUUGGGUAACACUAACUGGAGGACCGAACCGACUAAUGUUGAAAAAUUAGCGGAUGACUUGUGGCUGGGGGUGAAAGGCCAAUCAAACCGGGAGAUAGCUGGUUCUCCCCGAAAGCUAUUUAGGUAGCGCCUCGUGAAUUCAUCUCCGGGGGUAGAGCACUGUUUCGGCAAGGGGGUCAUCCCGACUUACCAACCCGAUGCAAACUGCGAAUACCGGAGAAUGUUAUCACGGGAGACACACGGCGGGUGCUAACGUCCGUCGUGAAGAGGGAAACAACCCAGACCGCCAGCUAAGGUCCCAAAGUCAUGGUUAAGUGGGAAACGAUGUGGGAAGGCCCAGACAGCCAGGAUGUUGGCUUAGAAGCAGCCAUCAUUUAAAGAAAGCGUAAUAGCUCACUGGUCGAGUCGGCCUGCGCGGAAGAUGUAACGGGGCUAAACCAUGCACCGAAGCUGCGGCAGCGACACUAUGUGUUGUUGGGUAGGGGAGCGUUCUGUAAGCCUGUGAAGGUGGCCUGUGAGGGUUGCUGGAGGUAUCAGAAGUGCGAAUGCUGACAUAAGUAACGAUAAAGCGGGUGAAAAGCCCGCUCGCCGGAAGACCAAGGGUUCCUGUCCAACGUUAAUCGGGGCAGGGUGAGUCGACCCCUAAGGCGAGGCCGAAAGGCGUAGUCGAUGGGAAACAGGUUAAUAUUCCUGUACUUGGUGUUACUGCGAAGGGGGGACGGAGAAGGCUAUGUUGGCCGGGCGACGGUUGUCCCGGUUUAAGCGUGUAGGCUGGUUUUCCAGGCAAAUCCGGAAAACCAAGGCUGAGGCGUGAUGACGAGGCACUACGGUGCUGAAGCGACAAAUGCCCUGCUUCCAGGAAAAGCCUCUAAGCAUCAGGUAACAUCAAAUCGUACCCAAAACCGACACAGGUGGUCAGGUAGAGAAUACCAAGGCGCUUGAGAGAACUCGGGUGAAGGAACUAGGCAAAAUGGUGCCGUAACUUCGGGAGAAGGCACGCUGAUAUGUAGGUGAAGCGACUUGCUCGUGGAGCUGAAAUCAGUCGAAGAUACCAGCUGGCUGCAACUGUUUAUUAAAAACACAGCACUGUGCAAACACGAAAGUGGACGUAUACGGUGUGACGCCUGCCCGGUGCCGGAAGGUUAAUUGAUGGGGUUAGCGGUAACGCGAAGCUCUUGAUCGAAGCCCCGGUAAACGGCGGCCGUAACUAUAACGGUCCUAAGGUAGCGAAAUUCCUUGUCGGGUAAGUUCCGACCUGCACGAAUGGCGUAAUGAUGGCCAGGCUGUCUCCACCCGAGACUCAGUGAAAUUGAACUCGCUGUGAAGAUGCAGUGUACCCGCGGCAAGACGGAAAGACCCCGUGAACCUUUACUAUAGCUUGACACUGAACAUUGAGCCUUGAUGUGUAGGAUAGGUGGGAGGCUUUGAAGUGUGGACGCCAGUCUGCAUGGAGCCGACCUUGAAAUACCACCCUUUAAUGUUUGAUGUUCUAACGUUGGCCCGUAAUCCGGGUUGCGGACAGUGUCUGGUGGGUAGUUUGACUGGGGCGGUCUCCUCCUAAAGAGUAACGGAGGAGCACGAAGGUUGGCUAAUCCUGGUCGGACAU
rnacentral:rRNA from 1 species